GCCGGUGUAGCUCAACUGGCAGAGCAACUGACUUGUAAUCAGUAGGUUGGGGGUUCAAGUCCUCUCACCGGCA
rnacentral:tRNA from 1 species